rfam:Candidatus Levybacteria bacterium RIFCSPLOWO2_02_FTLL_37_18 rifcsplowo2_02_scaffold_2076, whole genome shotgun sequence.
AGACUACUCAUAAUGCCGAUAAUGGAUGCCUAGGAGGUUUUGGCCGAGGAAGGACGCAUAUGGCGGCGAUACUCGUCGGGUAGGAGUCAUAAUCCUGUAAUCCGGCGGUUUCCGAAUCGAGCAAUCGACCGCGUCAAACGCGGGAACCAAACAUAAAAGUUCAGCCUUUGGCUGAUAAUAGUGUUUGGUAGGGUACCCGGGGAACUGAAACAUCUAAGUACCCGGAGGAAAAGAAAUCAUAGAGAUUCCCUAAGUAGCGGCGAGCGAAAAGGGAGAAGUCUAAACCGAGCUCAGCUCGGGGUUGCAGGGCAGACGAUAUUUGGUGUUUUAUAUAGCAGAACAGCUUGGAAUAGCUGACCAUAGAGGGUGAAAGUCCUGUAUGCGAAAUGUAAGACACUGAUAGUUUGUACCUAAGUACCAUGGAGGAAGUACUCUGUGGGAAUCUGGGGCGACCACGUUCCAAGACUAAAUACCAAGACCUACCGAUAGUGAACUAGUACCGUGAGGGAAAGGUGAAAAGCACCCCGGGAGGGGGAUGAAAUAGACCUGAAAUUGUCGGCUGACAAGCAGAGAGAGCCGGAGGACAGAGUACAGAAGUCAGAGGACAGAUUGCAGAGAAACAGAAGACAGAAGAUCAGGAUUAAAAUCUUGAUGUUUUGUAUCUCUGUCAUCUGAUAUCCGUCUUCCGUUAUUCUGUCUUCUGUCCUCUGGUGAUCUCGUGCCUAUUGAAGAAUGAACCGGUGAGUUAUCUUAGUGUGCGUUUAAGCUUAAGCCAGUUUCUGGCGGAGGCGUAGUGAAAGCAAGCUCUAACCGAGCUACUUAGUACAUUGGGAUAGACCCGAAACCGGGUGAGCUAACCUUGAGCAGGGUGAACCCCGAUGAAAGUCGGGGGAAGGCCCGCACUCGUAUCCGUAGCAAUGGGUUGAGAUGACUUGAGGUUAGAGGCAAUAUGCCAAACGAACCCGGAGAUAGCUGGUUCUCCCCGAAAUAUAUUUUGGUAUAGCGGGACGAUACAAUGAUCUAGGGGUAGAGCACUGAAUGGUCUUCGGCGGCGCAAGCUGUCGUAACCAAUCAAACUCCGAAUACUAGAUUAUAUUCGUUCUAGUCAGGCUGGUCGGGCUAAGCUGAUCAGUCAAAAGGGAAACAGCCCAGACUCCCAUCUAAGGCCUCUAAAUAAAGGCUAAGUUUUGAAGGAAGUUACAAUCCAGAGACAACCAGGAGGUUGGCUUAGAAGCAGCCAUCCUUUAAAGAAAGCGUAACAGCUCACUGGAGGAUGUCCACGUCUAACGUGGCAGGUUUGUAGCGCCGAAAAUGUAACGAGGAUUAAGCCUUUUGCCGAAGAUGGAGGUCCGCCUUUGGCGGACGGUAGGGGAGCGUUCGUAUUGCCGCGAAGCUGUGUUGUAAGGCAUGGUGGAGCGAUACGAAGUGAGAAUGCCGGUAUGAGUAGCGAGAUCCCGGUGAGAAACCGGGACGCCGAAAACCCAAGGUUUCCUCCGCACUGUAAGUCAGCGGAGGGUGAGUCGGCCCUAAGGGUGUUCCGAGCUAAUCUCGGGGUAACCCGAUGGACAAGUCGUUGAUAUUCGACUACAUAAGAGAAUGCGUUAUAACUCAAGGAUUGACCAGAGUGGAAGAGGAUUUGCCGCUAUAUGCGACACCAAGUUACAAAGUAGUUUUGAUUGGAAAAUCCGUCAGAGUGUCUAACUGAGUGGCGAUGGGAAGUUCCCGCGUCAAACGCGGGGACAACAUUCUAAGCUUUCAGUCCGCGAGAAAAGAUUCGUGAGGAGUGUUCUUUUAUUCCGUACCGUAAACCGACACAGGUGGGUUGGUCGAGAAGACUAAGGCGACCGGGAGACAGCAGAUCAAGGAACUCGGCAAAAAAACUGGGCGUAACCUUUGGGAGAUGCCCUGCCUUGUGCGGAGCACAAGGAAAUUCUAAGCACUAAUAUCUAAAUUCUAAAUAAUAUCAAAAUUACAAUGUUCAAAAUUCUAAAACGUUUGUAAAUUUGGAUUUUUGAAAGUGUAAUUUAUUUAGGAUUUAUGAUUUUGAAAUUAGGAUUUUCUUGCGUUCCGCGCGAGGCCACAGCAAAAGUUUAUUUAGCGACUGUUUAUCUAAAACAUAGGUCUCUGCAAAAGCGAAAGCUAACGUAUAGGGGCUGACACCUGCCCAGUGCUGGUAAGUUAAUCGUUGUGGGUGACCCUCGCAAGGGGGAGGCUCGCGGCGAAAGCUCCAGUGAACGGCAGCAGUAACUAUAACUGUUCUAUGGUAGAGUUUGAAAGAAAACUCCGCUGCCAUAGUGAGGUAUGUCCGCCAUUUGGUGGAAGAAUCCUCCAUUUCCCAUGUCUAGCCGAGGCAUGAAAAUGAAAAUCUGACCAUAUGCUGGAAAGUCUUGCAAUUCUGGAUCUACUAUGGUAACUUAGAAUUAUAGAUGAGUUCACCAAGUGACAAUGAUACCAGUAGAGAUAAUCAGCAGGAAAGACUUGGAACUGCAAAUUGGAUUGUAGGGUUUGUUGAUGGAGAAGGAUGUUUCUCUGUCUCAAUUUUUAAGAAUCUCAAAAGUUCUAAGAAUCCUCAGAGACUAUACGUCAGACUCCAAUAAAAACUGGGGAAGAUAUAGUCCAUUUAGAUUGAUUUGGCAAUCUGAUCGAGCGAAGUUCCUUGUCGGGCGAAAAGUUUGCGGGUCACGUAAGCUUGCCCGAAUGUAUCGAAAGAUACAGCACUUAGGAAUAGAACAAAAACAGUCGAGAAAGAGUUCUACAAAAGUAAAGUGCAAAAUCUGGCUAUAUGCUGGAAUUACUCUGUAUCCGACAGUACUUUAGAUCCUGAUAUCUAAGUCUAGGAUGAUAAGUAACAAUCUGUUUGGUGGAGUCAAUCAGCAGGGAAGACUCGCCUCAGGCGAGAACCCUCAGAGACUACAUGCCAGAAUUCCAUAAAGUGGAGGAUGAUAUAGUCCGAACUCAUAGGCGACUAUGAGGCUUGAAAAAGCGAUCGAGUAUAAAAACAAACGUACUUCAAUUUUUAAUUUUGCAUUGCAAUUUUGAACUUUGAAUUUUGAAUUUCUUUUGGAGUUCCGACCCGCACGAAAGGUAGAACGACUGAAUAACUGUCUUGAUCUGUUACCCGGCGAAAUUGAGAUGGCUGUGAAGACGCGGCCUAGUUAUCCAUGGACAAAAAGACCCCGGGAGCUUUACUGUAGCUUGGCAUUUGAGGGUUUAUUUUAACUGUUGAGAAUAGGAGGGAGCUUGUGCGGAGCACAAGGAAAUUCUAAGCACUAAUAUCUAAAUUCUAAAUAAUAUCAAAAUCACAAUGUUCAAAAUUCUAAAACGUUUGUAAAUUUGGAUUUUUGAAAGUGUAAUUUAUUUAGGAUUUAGGAUUUUGAAAUUAGGAUUUUCUUUUGCUUCGUGCAAGCAAAAGUGAAAUACCUCUCUUUGAAAUGAGCAAUCAUUACUUUUUUGCCGCAUAAAAAUCCGGCGAAGGGACAGUGUCUGGCGGGCAGUUUAACUGGGGAGGUUGACUCAAUUAUGGGUCCAUUAGGAAGUAAUUCCUAUUUGCAAACCAACUAUAUGCUGGAACAACUGGUGUAUCCAGAAGUACUUCUGAUAAAAUAGAAGUGAUAAUCUUUCUGGUGCAGUUAAUCAGCAGGGAAGUCCUUCAGCUAAAUGCGCAGGAUCCCUCAACGACUAUAUGUUGGGCUCUAAUACUAGAGUAUGAUAUGGUCUGAACUCAUAGGCGACUAUGAGAAUCCGACAGAAAUGCUCGGAUAGAAAGUGUCUAGGAUGAGGCAAACCCUCUUAGAAGAAUAUAAAAAGACUCUAAAACUUUCUAAUUUACAAAAGGAAGUAUUAGUGGGUCUUAUUCUAGGAGAUGGUCAUAUCGAGCUUUCUCCAAAUAGAAAGUCAGCAAGACUAAAAGUAGAAUAUAGCAUUAAAAAUGCCGAUGAGGUAACUUUGAGCGUUUUGGUUUCACUACUUUAAGCUUGUCCGACUUUCUUGUCUUUAGAGAAUUGUUCUAUCAAGCAAAAACCAAGAUAAUACCCAAAAAUAUAAAUGAACUUUUAACAGAAUUGGGACUCGCUAUCUGGUUUAUGGAUGAUGGAUCGUAUAAAUCAAAAGAGUGUUGGGGGAAAUUGAUAUGUACUCAUAAUUUUACCAUCGAAGAGGUUACUCUUCUUUGUCAGGUUUUAAAAGAAAAGUUUGGAUUGGAAGCAAUUCCAAGACGGCAAAUUGAUGGUAUAGAAAUUUAUAUUCGUGCCUCAUCUUUUAGUAGACUAAAGAAGUUGAUAUCUCCGUUUAUUGUUACUUCUUUUCUUUACAAAUUAGAUUAACUUUCUUAACAAUAUUGCCUACAUUGCAACGGAGUUGUACAAAGGUUGGCUAAGUCCGGAUGGAAAUCGGACUGAUAGCGCAAACGCAUAAGCCAGCUUAACUGCGAGACCUACAAGUCGAGCAGAUGCGAAAGCAGGUGUUAGUGAUCCUCCGCACGCUAGUGGUAGCGACGGAGCUUAACGGAUAUAAGCUACCCCGGGGAUAACAGGCUAAUCGCCACCAAGCGUUCACAGCGACGUGGCGGUUUGGCACCUCGAUGUCGGCUAAAACGCAAAUAGCGUUUGGGCCCUUCAAUAAGUAAUUAUUGAAGCAAAUUUGGCUAAUAACGGUGAACUCCUCUUGACUAAAUGAAUCUUCUCUAGUUAUGAUAAAGUCAAUGGACAAUACCGUGGGAAGUCGGUUUUUGAGGACGGAUGACAGAGAACAGAAGACGGAUAACGGAUAGAACAGAAAGUACGGAAGUAUGAUACGCUAUUCUCAUGAUUCGAGAGGUAACAGAUCUUCAAGUUUACAAGAAUGCUUUGGAAGCAUUGCCACUAGUUUAUGACUUAGCAAAUCAAAUUCCAGAGAGUCAUAGAAAACUAAAAGGUCAACUAAUCGAAUGCGGAGAAUCAAUUCCAGCGCAUAUUGCUGAAGGAUUUGGCAAAAAAAGAUCUGAAAAAGAGUUUAAGCGUUUUCUUGAAAUAGCAAUGGGAACAUCAGAUGAACUCAUUACUCAUGUUCAAGUAGUAAAAAUUCUCGCAAAAAGAAUUAGUCGUAUUAAUCAGAAGCUGUGUGACAUUCUGAUUGAUAGAUAUAAAAUUGAAUCUAAACAACUUCAGCAAUUUAUUAAAAACUGGAAAACAUACUCCUAUUAAGAAUUUCUGUUUUUGAUCUGUUUUAUCUGCAAUCUGUCCUGCCUGCCUGUCGGUAGGCAGGUUUUCUGUAUUCUGUCAUCUGUCUUCUAGAGCUUGACCCCGUAACGACUGAAUCCGUCAACUGACGGAUGAGAUAGCUCAAGAUAAAAAAAUACACGAGUUAUCAUAUGCCAACCCCCGAGAGUAACUCGGGGUGAUGAUAUAGUCUGCACUUUUGGAAACAAAAGAGUAUGUGCAUCGCAUCCUGGAGGUGGAGAAGCUUCCAAGGGUCGGGCUGUUCGCCCGUUAAAGCGGUACGCGAGCUGGGUUAAGAACGAUGUGAAUCAGUUCGGACUCUAUCCUGGAUAACCGUUCGAGAUUUGAGAGGAUCCGAUCCUAGUACGAGAGGACUGGAUUGGAGGAAUCCCUGGUGUGUCAGUUGUUCCUUACAAGGGCAGCGCUGAGUAGCUAUAUUCCUAACUGAUAACCGCUGAAAGCAUCUAAGUGGGAAGCAAACCUCAAGAUAAUAUCUCGUUCCCCGAUUUAAUCGGGGGAGAGACCCGUUGUAGACUACGACGUUGAUAGGCGGGCGGUGGAAGCACUGUAAAGUGUUAAGCCUACCCGUACUAAUGGUCAAAGAGUAGUUUUU